CAAUAGCGUAUAUUAAAGUUGUUGCAGUUAAAAAGCUCGUAGUUGGAUUUCUGGUUGAAGCGACCGGUCGGGCGUUGAUUCGUCUGCACUGGAGUCGGUUUUGGCCAUCCUCUAGGAAAGUGCGUCUGGUAUUAAGUUAUCGGGCGUAUGAUCCUGGUCUUUUACUGUGAAAAAAUUAGAGUGUUUAAAGCAGGCCUUCGCCUUGAAUACAUUAGCAUGGAAUAAUAAGAUAGGACUUUGGUCUAUUUUGUUGGUUUGCAGACCGAAGUAAUGAUUAAUAGGGAUAGUUGGGGGUAUUUAUAUUCCGAUGUCAGAGGUGAAAUUCUUAGAUUUUCGGAAGAUAAACUUAUGCGAAAGCAUUUACCAAGGAUUUUUUCAUUAA
rnacentral:rRNA from 1 species